GCGCCUUUAGCUCAGUUGGUAGAGCAGUAGACUCUUAAUCUAUUUGUCCAGGGUUCGAAUCCCUGAAGGCGCA
rnacentral:tRNA from 4 species